AUUGAACGCUGGCGGCAUGCCUUACACAUGCAAGUCGAACGGCAGCACGGGAGCAAUCCUGGUGGCGAGUGGCGAACGGGUGAGUAAUAUAUCGGAACGUGCCCGGUCGUGGGGAUAACGUAGCGAAAGCUACGCUAAUACCGCAUACGAUCUACGGAUGAAAGCGGGGGGAUCGCAAGACCUCGCGCGAUUGGAGCGGCCGAUAUCAGAUUAGGUAGUUGGUGAGGUAAAGGGCUCACCAAGCCGACGAUCUGUAGCUGGUCUGAGAGGACGACCAGCCACACUGGGACUGAGACACGGCCCAGACUCCCUACGGGAGGCAGCAGUGGGGAAUAUUGGACAAUGGGCGGAAAGCCUGAUCAGCAAUGCCGCGUGAGUGAUGAAGGCCUUAGGGUUGUAAGC
rnacentral:rRNA from 1 species